UAAAAACACCACUUUUGGGUGAAGCGGCAGCAAGUUGUGCUGUUUUGCUUCAAUCGGUGGUGUGACAAAC
rnacentral:precursor_RNA from 1 species